AAAAAGCUGUGUAUGAUUUGUGUUAUCACAGUUCAUAACAGAACAUAACUGAGGGAGUGUUUACAUAUACUUUAAAAUGAGUCCAUCAAUAGUUUUACUAGCUACUAUAUCAUUAGUGAUAACAAAUUUAGAAAAAUCAACAGCUGAACCUCAAAAAUAUGUUAUGUGUGGAAUUGAUCCAUGUGAUAAAGGAGAACGGUUUUGUGAUAAAAUGGACAUGAUUUGCAGUCCAUGCGGCUAUCUUGAAAGCUACUGCAGGGCUAAUCACGAAGAUGUGGGAUGUCUGAUGUACAACUGUAUUAUUACGAAGAACCAAUCAACUGACAUGGAAAAAGUCAAGUCUGAAUAUCAACAAUUUAAAUUGCAAACGAAGAACCAAUCAACUGACCUGGAAAAAGUCAAGUCUGAAUAUCAACAAUUUAAGUUGAAAGGCGAAAUGAAGCUGAAACAGAAAAAUUUGACAAUCCUAAUAUUAAGUGUUGUUGUGGGUGUUUUAGUUUUUAUUUUACCGAUAUUUCUACUAGUAUUCCGCUUGAAAAAAUGCCCAAAACUAAAGGAUUUUUUACCAAAUUAUAAAGAUAAAAAUGAUAUGGUAGUUUGUCAAGAUGAAACUAAAGUGGUGGAUCCAGAUUUGCCUCCUGAAGUACAGCAACCAGAACAAGAGGCCAUUUCCCUUCACCCUGAAUCUAAAACACCAUUACUUCGUGAACCUGUCCAAGAUAACUAUCCAAAGGAUCCUGAAUAUUCAGUAUGCCAAACGACUACACAAACCAAACAGACUGAUCCCCAUAAAUUUCCUCCCUCAAAUAUAAACCCAACUGAAGGAAACAUGAUGGGAAAAACACAGAUAGUGUGUAACUGAAGCUUAUAAUAUAUCUACAUGUCAUAGUUAGUUUUCUUAAUCGCUGUAUUUUGUCAGCUUUCAUCAAAAACUUUAGUUCUGAUCACGUAUUAUUCAAAUCCCGUAUGUAAUAAAAAUAGGUUCACCUCGAUAUUUUUGAUAUACGUGUUUUCGUAAUAUAUUGAUUGAAUGAAAGCUCUCCGAUCCUGCUUUGGCUUCAAAUUUACAACAGUUAUAUUUCUUCAAAAUUACGUGUCUUCGUUUAUACGAUAGCAAAUGUAUGCAGAACUUCCGAAAUAAGAAUAGUUUGUGAUGUCAAAACAUUGUUUUCUUCUUUAUAAAAUGUCAACAAAAUAUUCAAAUGAAAAUAGGAACACUUCGCUAUUUUUGUAUGCCCACAUUCUGGUAUUGUCGCCACCACAUGUCCGCCCUUCCGUCAACAAUUUAUUUAUGGGCCCUCUACAGGUCAUAAUUUUUAUCCAUUUUCAACAAAACUUGAAACAUAGGUUUAUGUCCCUAAGAUCUUGGUUCCUUUUGAU